rnacentral:rRNA from 1 species
UACGUAGGGUGCAAGCGUUAAUCGGAAUUACUGGGCGUAAAGCGUGCGCAGGCGGCGCGUUAAGACAGGUGUGAAAGCCCCCGAGCUUAACUUGGGAAUUGCGCUUGUGACUGGCGUGCUGGAGUGUGGCAGAGGGAGGUGGAAUUCCACGUGUAGCAGUGAAAUGCGUAGAGAUGAUGGAGGAACACCGAUGGCGAAGGCAGCCUCCUGGGCCAGCACUGACGCUCAGUGCACGAAAGCGUGGGGAGCAAACAGGAUUGAGAAACCC